rnacentral:rRNA from 1 species
GACGAACGCUGGCGGCGUGCUUAACACAUGCAAGUCGAACGGAAAGGCCCUGCUUUUGUGGGGUGCUCGAGUGGCGAACGGGUGAGUAACACGUGAGUAACCUGCCCUUGACUUUGGGAUAACUUCAGGAAACUGGGGCUAAUACCGGAUAGGAGCUCCUGCUGCAUGGUGGGGGUUGGAAAGUUUCGGCGGUUGGGGAUGGACUCGCGGCUUAUCAGCUUGUUGGUGGGGUAGUGGCUUACCAAGGCUUUGACGGGUAGCCGGCCUGAGAGGGUGACCGGCCACAUUGGUACUGAGAUACGGCCCAGACUCCUACGGGAGGCAGCAGUGGGGAAUAUUGCACAAUGGGCGGAAGCCUGAUGCAGCAACGCCGCGUGCGGGAUGACGGCCUUCGGGUUGUAAACCGCUUUCGCCUGUGACGAAGCGGGAGUGACGGUAAUGGGUAAAGAAGCACCGGCUAACUACGUG